rnacentral:rRNA from 1 species
GACGAACGCUGGCGGCGUGCUUAACACAUGCAAGUCGAACGGAAAGGCCCUGCUUUUGUGGCUUGCUCGAUUGGCGAACGCGUGAGUAACACGUGUGUAACCUGCCCUUGACUUUGGGAUAACUUCAGGAAACUCGGGCUCAUACCGCAUAUGAGCUCCUGCUGCAUGGUGGUCAUUGGAAAGAUUCGGCGGUUGUGGCUGGACUCGCGGCUUAUCCGCUUGUUGGUGGGGUAGUGGCUUACAAAGGGUUCGAGGGGUAGCCGGCCUGGGAGGGUGACCGGCGACAUUGGGACUGAGGUACGGACCAGACGGGUACGGUAGGCAGCAGUGGGGAACAUGGCGCAAUGGGCGGAAGUCUGAUGCAGCAACGCUGGGUGCGGGAUGACGGCCUUCGGGUUGUAAACCGCUUUCGCCUGUGACGAAGCGUGAGUGACGGUAAUGGGUAAAGAAGCACCGGCUAACUACGUG